UAGGGAAUCUUCGGCAAUGGACGAAAGUCUGACCGAGCAACGCCGCGUGAGUGAAGAAGGUUUUCGGAUCGUAAAACUCUGUUGUUAGAGAAGAACAAGGACGUUAGUAACUGAACGUCCCCUGACGGUAUCUAACCAGAAAGCCACGGCUAACUACGUGCCAGCAGCCGCGGUAAUACGUAGGUGGCAAGCGUUGUCCGGAUUUAUUGGGCGUAAAGCGAGCGCAGGCGGUUUCUUAAGUCUGAUGUGAAAGCCCCCGGCUCAACCGGGGAGGGUCAUCGGAAACUGGGAGACUUGAGUGCAGAAGAGGAGAGUGGAAUUCCAUGUGUAGCGGUGAAAUGCGUAGAUAUAUGGAGGAACACCAGUGGCGAAGGCGGCUCCCUGGUCUGUAACUGACGCUGAGGCUCGAAAGCGUGGGGAGCAAACAGG
rnacentral:rRNA from 1 species